rnacentral:rRNA from 1 species
UACGUAGGGUGCAAGCGUUGUCCGGAAUUAUUGGGCGUAAAGAGCUCGUAGGCGGUCUGUCGCGUCUGCUGUGAAAACUCGGGGCUUAACCCCGGGCCUGCAGUGGGUACGGGCAGACUAGAGUACGGUAGGGGAGACUGGAAUUCCUGGUGUAGCGGUGAAAUGCGCAGAUAUCAGGAGGAACACCGGUGGCGAAGGCGGGUCUCUGGGCCGUAACUGACGCUGAGGAGCGAAAGCGUGGGGAGCGAACAGG